UUGAUAAACACUGAUCAACAUAGGUUUUUUAAACUAUAAAACAUACUUGUAUGGAAAUGCUUUUCUGACAGUUUGAAUCAUUCUUACUUACCAAUAUACAUGUCCCAACAAUGAAAGAGUAAAGCAAGCUGAAUCACCAAACUCAGUAACAAUAUCAUCAUGGCUUUUCUGCUUAUUAAACACUCCACCAGAUAAGAUUUGUUCCCCUUCUGCAAGCCUUUAAAAUACAAAUUUAAAGAUUUUUAAAAACCAAUAUAAAAAGCAGUUCAUGUAAACAUAUUCUUCAUUACCAAAGUGCAUCUAACUAUGGAGACACAAAUUUUUUCUCUCUCUCUCUUUCCUUUUCCUUCCUUCCUUCAUCCCUCCCUCUCUCUGUCUUCCUUUCUUUAAAGAGAUAGGGUCUUGCUUUGUUACCCAGGCUAGAGUGCAGUAGUACAAUCAUAGUUCACAUGGCCUCAAAUUCCUGGACUCAGGUGAGCCUCUUGCAUCAGCCUUGUGAGUAGCUGGGACUACAGGUGCACACCACCACACCCAGCUAAUUUUUAAUUUUUUUGUAGAGACAGGGUCUCACUAUGUUGACCAGGUGUAGUGACACGUGUCUGCAGCUCCAGCUACGUGGGAGGCUGAGAUGGGAGGAUCGCUUAGGCCCAGAUGGGGACUGCAGUGAGCCAUC
ensembl:lncRNA novel transcript, antisense to CDC27